CAAUUCAACAUAGUCUGAUAUAAAUUUAUUUACAUUAUUUUUUUUUGGUUUUAUGUAAUUUUUUAUAAAAUAUUAUUUGGUUAAUGUAAUAUAUAGGGAUAUAAUUAUUUUUGUUAUAGUAUAUUAGUACUGUGAAGGGAUAUUUUAUAUUUUAUUUAGUUUAUUUAAUUUAUUGUACCUUGUGUAUCAGGGUUGAUUAAUAAUAGGAUAUAUUUUUGUUUUUCUCGAUGGUAGGAGAGCUAAAUAAUUAAUUUAUUUAUUGUGAUAUAAAUAUUAAUAAUAAUUAUUUUGGAGUGAAAUGUUAUUCGUUCUUAUGUAUAUCUAGUUUCUUAAGAAAUAAAUUUAAUUUAGUUUCUAGUUUAUUAUGAUUUCAUUUAUGAGGUUAAAAUUUAAAUUGGUGAUAAUAUUUUGGGGGAUUAGCUUAAAAAUUGAAUUUAAUGAAUUUUGUUUUAAUUAAGGGUUAUGGAUUUAGAAUUGAUUUUUAUUAUGAGUAUUUUGUAAUUUUACUUAUUUAUUACUUUAUUUGUAUUUAUUCUUAGUUUAUAUUAGGAAAAUUUAAUUAAUUUUUUAUUGUUUGGUAUUAUGAUUAAAUUAGUAUAUUGUUGAUUGUAAAGUAUUUAAAUGUUUUUAGUUAAUUUAAGGAAUUAGGCAAUAAGAGUAUAUUCACAUGUUUAACAAAAACAUCUUUCCUUGAAUAUUUUGGGAGUAUGACCUGCCCACUGAUUAAAUUUGAAUGGCCGCGGUAAUUUGACCGUGCAAAGGUAGCAUAAUCAUUAGUUUUUUAAUUGGAAACUGGAAUGAAUGGUUAGAUGAAAUAUGCACUGUCUUGAUUUAAUUUAUUGAAUUUAAUUAUUAGGUUAAAAAGCCUAAAUAAAAUUAUGGGACGAGAAGACCCUAUAGAAUUUAAUAAUUUAAAAUUAUGGUAUUAUGUGUGAUUUUAGUUGAUUGAUUUGAAUUAUUUUGUUGGGGUGAUGGGAAGAUAAAUUAAACUCUUUUUAUUUUAUUUAUAUUGAUAAAUAUGUGUGUGAUCCAAUAAUAGUGAUUAUAAGAAAAAAUUACCUUAGGGAUAACAGCGUAAUCUUUCUUGAGAGUUCAUAUCGACAGAAAGGGUUGCGACCUCGAUGUUGGAUUAAGAUAAGUAUUUGGUGUAGAAUUUAAAUUGUUAGGUCUGUUCGACCUUUAAAAUCUUACAUGAUCUGAGUUCAAACCGGCGUGAGCCAGGUUGGUUUCUAUCUAUAAUUUUUAAUAAUAUUUUAGUACGAGAGGACCAAAUAUUAGGAAUAAUUUUGUUUAUGUUGUUUAUUAAUAAAUAGCUAUUUUGGCAGAAAAGUGCAAUGGAUUUAGAAUCUAUAAAUGUAGAGUUAUAACUAU
rnacentral:rRNA from 1 species